rfam:Heterocephalus glaber contig30408, whole genome shotgun sequence.
GGAGGUGUAGCUCAGUGUUAGAGUGCUUGUCUGACAUGCUCAAGGCCCUUGGUUCAAAUCCCUGGUACCACCU